GUUCUCUCCCCCAGAGUGAUGACUUCAGGACAUAGAGUCGUGAGAGUUCUCUCCCCCAGAGGGAUGACUUCAGGACACAGAGUCGUGAGAGUUCUCUCCCCCAGAGGGAUGACUUCAGGACACAGAUUUGGGGGGGUUCUCUCCCACAGAUAGGGGAUGACUUCAGGACACAGAGUUGGGAGAGUUCUCUCCCACAGAUAGGUGAUGACUUCAGGACACAGAUUUGGGAGGGUUCUCUCCCACAGAUAGGUGAUGACUUCAGGACACAGAGUCGGGAGAGUUCCUUACCACAGAGUGAUGACUUCAGGACACAGAUUUGGGAGAGUUCUCUCCCACAGAUAGGUGAUGACUUCAGGACACAGAGUCGGGAGAGUUCUCUCCCACAGAUAGGUGAUUGAGGGUUUGGUAGGUUUUCUUGGCAAGCAUUCUUUUAUCAGAAUAAUGAAUUUUCGUUAAUAUAGCCCAUUAUUCAUAAAUUAAGACUUGUUCAUAUAUCAUUGCCAGUGAUGCAAUGCUUUCUAAACAGUACAAAAAGAUAAGAAUUUUUAACAUUACCGACACUGGUAGGGAGAUUAUGAUUCUUUAGUGUGAGUUUAAAUUUUUCAAAAUAUGGAAGGACUCCUUGUGAAAUAGGGAGACAUCACAAUCAGAUCAAAAACAGACGGAAAGAAUGUCCUGUUUGUUUUAUCAUGGACAAAUAUUUCAGGGAGUAACAAUUUGCUCUUACUAUGUACUUGGAUUCAGAAGUAGAUGGCUUGAGCAUUGAAACCAGUGACUGACAUGUUGUGUGUUUCAGUUUGUCCAUGGUCUGAGAUUAUAAGUUGAUUUAUUAUUAAUGGUCCUUGAGACACUUUUAACAGUUAUUUACCUUGCAUUAUUCCUGUAAUUUGAUACAUGUACAUACAAAAAAUCAUUGUCUUUUUUUUGAGUUAAGUCAUCUUUACAAUUUUAGGUUAUUCAAAAAUUGAAAUAUUUACAGUAAAAUCAAUUAAGAUAAGAUGAACAAGACUAUACAGUAGAGGUACAGCUAUAAGGAUAUUCAGAGGGAGAGUUCAUUAAUUACUCUGAGGGAGAUUUCAUUAGUUCAUUAAUUACUCUGAGGGAGAUUUCAUUAGUUCAUUAACUACUCUGAGGCAGAGUACAUUAGUUCAUUAACUACUCUGAGGGAGAGUUCAUUAGUUCAUUAACUACUCUGAGGGAGAGUUCAUUAGUUCAUUAACUACUCUGAGGCAGAGUUCAUUAGUUCAUUAACUUCUCCAUUGUUACAAUUCAUUUGUAUGAUUGUUGAUAUGACAGUAUGUUGGGUUUAUAUGUUCAGUGUGUAUUGACAGUCAGCACAUGUUGUUUUGCAUUUGAAAAUAAAACUAUUUUAUUGUA